rnacentral:rRNA from 1 species
CCUACGGGUGGCAGCAGUGAGGAAUAUUCCGCAAUGGGCGAAAGCCUGACGGAGCAAUGCCGCGUGAAUGAAGAAGGUCUUCGGAUUGUAAAGUUCUUUAGUCAGGGACGAAGAAAGUGACGGUACCUGAAGAAUAAGCCCCGGCUAACUACGUGCCAGCAGCCGCGGUAAUACGUAGGGGGCAAGCGUUGUCCGGAAUGACUGGGCGUAAAGGGUGUGUAGGCGGUUUUGCAAGUUAGGAGUGAAAUACCCGGGCUUAACCCGGGUGCUGCUUUUAAGACUGUAAGACUUGAGUGCAGGAGAGGCUAUCGGAAUUCCUAGUGUAGCGGUGAAAUGCGUAGAUAUUAGGAGGAACACCAGUGGCGAAGGCGGCUUACUGGACAGUAACUGACGUUGAGGCUCGAAAGCGUGGGGAGCAAACAGGAUUAGAUACCCUUGUA